rnacentral:rRNA from 1 species
UACGAAGGUGGCAAGCGUUGUUCGGAUUUACUGGGCGUAAAGCGCGUGUAGGCGGCUCGGCAAGUCGGGUGUGAAAGCCCUGGGCUUAACCUAGGAAGUGCACUCGAAACUGCCAAGCUUGAGUUCUGGAGAGGAAGGCGGAAUUCUCGGUGUAGAGGUGAAAUUCGUAGAUAUCGAGAGGAACACCGGUGGCGAAGGCGGCCUUCUGGACAGCAACUGACGCUGAGACGCGAAAGCGUGGGGAGCAAACAGG